AGAAGUUUAGGUUACAUAGACCAAAGGCCUUCAAAGCCUUAAGAAAAUACUAUUUAUUUAACUUCUG
rnacentral:tRNA from 1 species